CAGAGAAGACCCAAGUACAAACAACACACACCAUGUUCUCUACAUCUCUACUGCUCCUGCUGGCAGCUGCUUCCUAUGUGCAUGGUGAGGAACUGACUCAGCCUGCUUCCAUGACAGUCCAGCCAGGCCAGAGUCUCUCCAUCACCUGCAAGGUUUCAUAUUCAGUUACAAGCUAUGGCACAGCUUGGAUCCGACAACCUGCAGGAAAAACUCUGGAGUGGAUUGGAAGCAUCUAUUAUGAUGGGAGCACAGCUUACAGUGACAAACUGAAAAAUAAGUUUAGCAUCACCAGAGACACGUCUACUAACACAAUAACAAUUCGAGGACAGAACAUGCAGACUAAAGACACAGCUGUGUAUUACUGCGCUCGAGACCCACAGUGA